UUGGAGGGCAAGUCUGGUGCCAGCAGCCGCGGUAAUUCCAGCUCCAAUAGCGUAUAUUGAAGUUGUUGCAGUUAAAAAGCUCGUAGUUGAAUUUCGGGAUUGACGUGAUGGUCAUGCCUUAAGGGGUAUGAACUGUUACUGUUGACUUCUCACCUUCUGGAGAAACUUGAUGUCCUUCAUUGGGUGUCUUGAGGAUCCAGGACCUUUACCUUGAAAAAAUUAGAGUGUUUAAAGCAGGCAUUUUUGCUCGAAUACAUUAGCAUGGAAUAAUAGAAUAGGACGGCAUGGUUCUAUUUUGUUGGUUUCUAGGAUCACCGUAAUGAUUAAUAGGGAUAGUUGGGGGCAUUAGUAUUCAAUUGUCAGAGGUGAAAUUCUUGGAUUUAUUGAAGACUAACUACUGCGAAAGCAUUUGCCAAGGAUGUUUUCAUUAAUCAAGAACGAAAGUUAGGGGAUCGAAGACGAUCAGAUACCGUCGUAGUCUUAACCAUAAACUAUGCCGACUAGGAAUCAGACGAUGUUAAUUUUUUAAUGACUCGUUUGGCACCUUACGGGAAACCAAAG
rnacentral:rRNA from 1 species